GCAACGAUCAGGCUUUCAUAAGGAUUGAAGAGUUCAGCUGGCCGCUUCUGGCGUUGGCACUCUAGAAGGACUAGUGCUGCAGUGCAGCAAAAUUGCAACAAGCAUGUCACAGUACAAACGGUGCUGCUGGUUGUGAUGUUUUUGCAACCUCUUCAAAACAAGCGGGGAGGGACGGGAAAACCGGUCAAAGCUUCCCACUAAUGACCGCCGACCAAGCCGUCCACGGCCACCGCGCGGCACACACAAUUGGCGGGAAUGGUUUCGCUCUCCGUUUCGUCCCAGUUGGCGGCGCUUGUUGGAAAGUUUGUCAUUCGAUUACUAAUGAUUUUUCCCUGUUAUUUUUCUCUCAUCGCAGGAAGCGUUGCACGGUGGACGUGAGACCGGCAGGCCAGAGCCUGCCUUGUGAGUUUGCAGAAAAGUUUUCCUUCGGCUGCUUGGCAUUGUGCUCUGCUCAAUGGCUAGAUGUCAUAAACAAUGCAAACUGCACCGACUCGAAUUGUUAUGUUCGAAAAGAGGAUUAUACCGUUGAUGAAGGGGAUUAAUGCUAGACGAGAAAUCAGCAAAGCGAUCAGGGCAAGCGUUGAGUUCUUGCUGGCGUGAAGAUCAUUACACACGAAUGAUUUGGAUCUAUUCGUCAUCACUUUACAAAGGAUGUGCCCGCGCCACGUUUGUGCCGUCGCGUCGGCCGCAAGGUUGUUCGCGAGAAGAAGGGCUAAAUAUCUUCAACUGACUCGCUCUCACAGAAACAUUGCCAUCUUUGGAUAACUAAUGUAUAACCAAGCAGUUCUAUAAAAUAAUUUGGGUAGGUAACAAUUCGCACUUUUUCAUAGGCUACAUUGAAACAAGAAUAAACCUAAAUUCAAUCCACUUUCAGCCAUAACUCUCACAAUAAUCGCGAAUUAUCUGAAGAUUGAUUUUCAAGGCAAAAUUUCCGAGGCACAAUUUGUGGAAGCCAAGUAACAUUUUUUAGUCAAGUAGACUAGCAGAAGUUCGUGGAACCAUCAUAAAAUAAAAAUAAAAGGUAUAGGUUUUUAUGACGGUUAUUAAAACUUCUACAAGACUAAUUGGUCACCAAAAUUUUUCAAUCCGACCGGGCCGGCUAUAAUCAAAACAAUGCGGGAAGAGAAAACGUGUGACACAUUUGAAAGCGCAGCCGCUGACGCACAGCACCCAAGUAACAAUUUAAAUUCCAUUUAGAUUUGUUUAUUUUUAUGGAAGCUUUAUCGUAGCAUGACCAAUUCAUGGAACAUUUGUGAUUGUUUUUAUCAAGAGAAAACAAUCUUCGUUCGUUUGCGGUUUUUAGGUUUUCUUCAAGUUAAUUUUAAAAAUUGCGCAUAAAACGACUGGAUCUACUAGAAUAUUUCAUCUUAUCAUCAGUUUUAAGUCGUAUUUGAAGUUAUUUUCAACACAUAACACCAAAAUAUUUUAAUAGAAGUUUAUGCUUCGUUUAUUGAAGUGCAUUUCAUCUGAGUUAUCCUUCUUUAAAAACUGCUUGAAACCUUCUAUUCUUGAGCUAGAGCCACUACUCUGGAACAAGAACUAAGCGAAAUCAUAAAAAAAUGAACUAUCUUAUCAACCCAAACGAUAAAUUCGACACCAACAUUUCAAAAGGGCGUAACUGCUUUUGGAAUCAUCGUCUUCUUUUAAAGCUGUGGAUCAUGUGUUAUGAUUUCCAUGUUUUUCACAACAAGUACCAGAUGGGAAAAACUCUCCUCUUUCCGACAACCACGGUGGUUUGAGUGUAAGGGAGGCAGUACGACCUACAGCUUUGAAAGAAGGUAUUACUUCCAAAUGCAGUUACGCCCUUUUGAAAUGUUGGUUCCGAAUUAUGCAACAAAUUGGUAGUUAAACUGCGUUCUCAUGCAAAUGUAAACAUUUAAUCUUUUUGCUCACUGAUAAUUUAACCAUUUUGAUGCUCAAAAGUAAUCAUAUCACCGAAUUGAUUAUUUUAUAGCCAAUCAAAAAUGCGAGUAGCUUGCUGCUGUCGCCCUACCUUUAGUUAGUUACUCAUACAGGCCACAGCUAUACGAACCGAAAAUGAUAUGGGUACUUACUGUGAUUCUUCUUAUGUACAUGCUAAAUAAAGUAAUUUUAGUAAGUUGCACUUCAUUAUUGCAAAAAUACACGAAAAUAUCAUCGAAUUGGCACAUCUUGACGCGAAAUGUACAGAGACAAUUUUCUAGCUCCAAAAACGUAAACAAACAACUGUCAAAAGCUGUUACUCUUGAAUAAAGCGCACAAGUUUCAUUUAAGACGAACAAAUCUGCCUUAAGAUCACUACUAGUAAAAACAAUCUUCAAUAAAUGCUGUAGCUUUCAUGCAAGCCAACUUAGUUCCAUCAUAGCUUUGAAGUGGGUUGGAUUAAAGGUAAUAACAAUUGAUGGCGGCUGCACGAGUUUUGUUCGCUUGGAACGGCAGCCAUGUCUAGAAGGAAUUGAAAAAGUGGCGUAGCACUUUGUUUUUAUAUGAAAUUUUUGUCUUCGUAUAUUAAUGAAUGAUAUUAUUCUUGAGGCGCUAUGUUAUUUUCGUAUGUUUUAGAUGGCAUAUUAACGAAGUAGUGGGUAUGGCACGGAAAAUUUUGAUUCCCUGUCAUCAACGAUCUCUCAGGCAAUUUCAAUGCUUUAGCCAUUUCAAUUUGAUGGAAAUUAAUUCGCAGUUCAAUUAACAUUUCAUCCAUGAAACAAAACUUGUUCGCAUCUGCAUAAUGCUUAGGUAAAAGAUUUCAUUUAUUGUGCACUACUAGCACUUUUGGGAAAGACAGCUAAAAGAUCAACAUGCCUCAAGCUAUACUUGUUAAAGUUUUAUGAAGUUCUUAUAAUCAAUCAUCAGUGCAAGUACUUAAAUACAACUAGUUUCAAAGCAGUCUUCAAAAGCAGCCUUGGAGAUCUCCUGAAGAGUGGGCCAGAUUCGUCUUAUAGAUAUUUUAUGCCUAUUUUAUCUCGGAUUUGCAGAACAAAGAGCUUUAUUGCUAAGUUUUAUUAUUCUAUCUUGGAAAUAACUUCAGGAUUGGGCCCAAAUAGCCGAGGCGGUAAACGCACGGGUAUUCAGCAUGACCAUGCUGAGGGUGACGGGUUCGAUUCCCGGUCGGUCCAGGAUCUUUUCGUAAAGGAAAUGUCCUUGACUUCCUUGGGCAUAGAGUAUCUUCGUGCCUGCCACACGAUAUACGCAUGCAAAAUGGUCAUUGGCAGAGGAAGCUCUCAGUUAAUAACUGUGGAAGUGCUCAUAGAACACUAAGCUGAGAAGCAGGCUUUGUCCCAAUGAGGACGUUACGCCAACAAGAGAGAGAGAGAGA